AAAGCGUGCGUAGGCGGCUUUUUAAGUCGGAUGUGAAAUCCCCGAGCUUAACUUGGGAAUUGCAUUCGAUACUGGGAAGCUAGAGUAUGGGAGAGGAUGGUAGAAUUCCAGGUGUAGCGGUGAAAUGCGUAGAUAUGCGGAGGAACACCGAUGGCGAAGGCAAUCCCCUGGGCCUGCACUGACGCUCAUGCACGAAAGCGUGGGGAGCAAACAGGAUUAGAUACCCUAGU
rnacentral:rRNA from 1 species